rnacentral:pre_miRNA from 2 species
AAUUUCAGCUGAAAAAGUCAUGAACAUAAAAGUUGUAGAGCUCAUCAAGACAUACAACUUUUAUUUUGUUCAUUUCUUCGCCCGAUAAAGUGAUAGUAGUAUUGUUUACAAAGAACCAAAUGAGAUGUAAAUUUUAUGAACAAUGUUACUAUCACUUUGUCGGAUGAAGAAAUGACCAAAAUAAAAGUUAUAGAUCUUGAUGAGUUAUACAACUUUGUUGUUGAUGACUUUUUCAGUUGAAAUC